UACGGAGGGUGCAAGCAUUAAUCGGAUUUAUUGGGCGUAAAGGGCGUGUAGGCGGGUUAGUAAGUCGAAUGUGAAAUUCCAAAGCUCAACUUUGGGACUGCAUUUGAAACUGCUAAUCUGGAGGUUUGGCGGAGAAAAUGGAAUUCCACGUGUAGCGGUGAAAUGCGUAGAUAUGUGGAGGAACACCGGUGGCGAAGGCGGGUCUCUGGGCCGAUACUGACGCUGAGGAGCGAAAGCGUGGGGAGCAAACAGG
rnacentral:rRNA from 1 species